GACGAACGCUGGCGGCGUGCUUAACACAUGCAAGUCGAACGGAAAGGCCCUGCUUGCAGGGUACUCGAGUGGCGAACGGGUGAGUAACACGUGGGUGAUCUGCCCUGCACUUCGGGAUAAGCCUGGGAAACUGGGUCUAAUACCGGAUAGGAGCCAUUUUUAGUGUGAUGGUUGGAAAGUUUUUUCGGUGUAGGAUGGGCUCGCGGCCUAUCAGCUUGUUGGUGGGGUAAUGGCCUACCAAGGCGGCGACGGGUAGCCGGCCUGAGAGGGUGGACGGCCACAUUGGGACUGAGAUACGGCCCAGACUCCUACGGGAGGCAGCAGUGGGGAAUAUUGCACAAUGGGCGCAAGCCUGAUGCAGCGACGCCGCGUGGGGGAUGACGGCCUUCGGGUUGUAAACUCCUUUCGCUAGGGACGAAGCUUUUUGUGACGGUACCUAGAUAAGAAGCACCGGCUAACUACGU
rnacentral:rRNA from 1 species